UUUAACUGAGCGUUCAGUUACUUGACGUAGACCCGAAACCGGGCGACCUACCCAUGAGCAGGAUGAAGCGAAAGUAAAAUUUCGUGGAGGUCCGAACCCACGAGCGUUGAAAAGCUCGGGGAUGACUUGUGGGUAGCGGUGAAAUUCCAAUCGAGCCCGGAGAUAGCUGGUUCUCCCCGAAAUAGCUUUAGGGCUAGCCUCAAGGUGAGAGAUACGGAGGUAGAGCACUGAAUGUCCUAGGGGGUAUUGCACCUACCGAAGACUAUCAAACUCCGAAUGCCGUCAUCUUAUACUUGGGAGUCAGACUGUGGGUGAUAAGAUUCAUAGUCGAAAGGGCAACAGCCCAGAUCGUCAGCUAAGGUCCCUAAAUGUAAGUUAAGUGGUAAAGGAUGUGGGAUUGCACAGACAACCAGGAUGUUGGCUUAGAAGCAGCCACUCAUUCAAAGAGUGCGUAAUAGCUCACUGGUCGAGUGAUCCUGCGCCGAAGAUUUCCGGGGCUAAAACUUACUACCGAAGCUACGGCAUCAGUAAUGAUGGGUAGGGGAGCUUCCCAUACGGGUUGAAGCAUGACCGUAAGGACAUGUGGACAGUAUGGGAGUGAGAAUGUUGGCAUGAGUAGCGAGAUGUGGGUGAGAAUCCCACAGGCCGUAAACCCAAGGUUUCCAGGGGAAGGUUCGUCCGCCCUGGGUUAGUCGGGACCUAAGCUGAGGCCGAAAGGCGUAGGUGAUGGACAACAGGUUGAUAUUCCUGUACUACCGAUAACCGUUUGAGAGAAGGGAUGACACAGUAGGAUAAGCUAAGCACACUGUUGGUUAUGUGUGCCCAAGCAUUGAGGCAGUCAAAGUAGGCAAAUCCGCUUUGAUAAUGCUGGGGUGUGAUGGGGAGCGAAAUUUAGUAGCGAAGUAGCUGAUUUCACACUGUCAAGAAAAGUCUCUAUCGAGGUUAAAGGUACCCGUACCGCAAACCGACACAGGUGGGUGAGGAGAGUAUCCUAAGGCCAGCGAGAGAACUGUUGUUAAGGAACUCGGCAAAAUGACCCCGUAACUUAGGGAUAAGGGGUGCCACCAUCAGGUGGCCGCAGAGAAUAGGCCCAAGCGACUGUUUACCAAAAACAUAGGUUUCUGCUAAGUCGCAAGACGAUGUAUAGGAGCUGACGCCUGCCCGGUGCUGGAAGGUUAAGGGGAUCUGUUAGAG
rnacentral:rRNA from 1 species